rnacentral:rRNA from 1 species
AUUGAACGCUGGCGGCAGGCCUAACACAUGCAAGUCGAGCGAAUGAGAAGAGCUUGCUCUUCGAUUCAGCGGCGGACGGGUGAGUAAUGCCUAGGAAUCUGCCUGGUAGUGGGGGACAACGUUUCGAAAGGAACGCUAAUACCGCAUACGUCCUACGGGAGAAAGCAGGGGACCUUCGGGCCUUGCGCUAUCAGAUGAGCCUAGGUCGGAUUAGCUAGUUGGUGAGGUAAUGGCUCACCAAGGCGACGAUCCGUAACUGGUCUGAGAGGAUGGUCAGUGACACUGGAAAUGAGACAGGGUCCAGACUCCAACGGUAGGCAGCAGUGGGGAAUAUUGGACAAGGGGCGAAAGGCUGAUCCAGCCAUGCCGCGUGUGUGAAGAAGGUCUUCGGAUUGUAAAGCACUUUAAGUUGGGAGGAAGGGCAGUAAGUUAAUACCUUGCUGUUUUGACGUUACCGACAGAAUAAGCACCGGCUAACUCUGUGCCAGCCGCCGCCGUAAGAC